GAAUUAAGUUACAUUUCAAAGUAACCUUCCAGGGUCAUUAAAGCUAUUCUUCACCUGCUUCCAAUCAGAUUAAAGUAGAUCCAAAGAGCAGGACUGUGGAUAUUAUAUUCACUGCUACAUCCUCAACUCACUAUAGGUAUUCAGUAAAUACUUGUUCUUGCAAAUUUACUUUGUUUCCUCUGUGAUAAUUCCUCUUUUGUGGAAUCAACAAAUCUUACUAGAUUUUCUGCUUAUUUUAAUAAAAGAACUUUUCAGUGUCAGUGGACAACAAGAAACAGAAGACUAAACUAUCAAGAUGGAGAAAACAUUUUUAAUCCUAUCUACUAAUGGAAACUACAUGUAGUUUAUCCAGAGCAGCCCCUAUGAAAUAAGAAGCAGCAUAGCAUAGUUAGGAGCAUAGAUUCUGGAACCAAAGUACCAGCUCCACUGCUUACCAGUGUGUGACCUCAGGUAAGUCGUAAUCUCUUUAUCUUUCUGUUCCUUAC
rnacentral:lncRNA from 10 species